rnacentral:rRNA from 1 species
UACGAAGGGUGCAAGCGUUGCUCGGAAUUAUUGGGCGUAAAGGGUUGGUAGGUGGUCUUGUUUGUCUAAGGUGAAAUCCCAUGGCUUAACUGUGGAAGUGCCUUAGAAACGGCAAGACUAGAGUCCUAGAGGGGUUUGUGGAAUUCCCGGUGUAGCGGUGAAAUGCGCAGAUAUCGGGAGGAACACCAGUAGCGAAGGCGGCUCGCUGGGCCGUUCCUGACGCUGAGACGCGAAAGCUAGGGGAGCGAACAGG